rnacentral:rRNA from 1 species
AGAGUUUGAUCCUGGCUCAGGAUGAACGCUAGCGGCAGGCUUAAUACAUGCAAGUCGAGGGGCAGCACGGGUAGCAAUACCUGGUGGCGACCGGCAAACGGGUGCGGAACACGUACGCAACCUUCCCAUAACUGGUGAAUAGCCCUCCGAAAGGAGGAUUAAUACACCGUAACAUAAUGAAGAGGCAUCUCUUUAUUAUUAUAGGCUUCGGCCGGUUUUGGAUGGGCGUGCGCCUGAUUAGGUAGUUGGCGGGGUAACGGCCCACCAAGCCUGCGAUCAGUAACUGGUGUGUGAGCACGACCAGUCACACGGGCACUGAGACACGGGCCCGACUCCUACGGGAGGCAGCAGUAAGGAAUAUUGGUCAAUGGACGAAAGUCUGAACCAGCCAUGCCGCGUGAAGGAUUAAGGCCCUCUGGGUUGUAAACUUCUUUUAUCUGGGACGAAAAAAGGGUAUUCUUACUCACUUGACGGUACCAGAGGAAUAAGCACCGGCUAACUCCGUGCCAGCAGCCGCGGUAAUACGGAGGGUGCAAGCGUUAUCCGGAUUUACUGGGUUUAAAGGGUGCGUAGGUGGGUCUGUAAGUCAGUGGUGAAAUCUCCGAGCUUAACUCGGAAACUGCCAUUGAUACUAUAGGUCUUGAAUUAUCUGGAGGUAAGCGGAAUAUGUCAUGUAGCGGUGAAAUGCUUAGAUAUGACAUAGAACACCAAUUGCGAAGGCAGCUUACUACGGAUAUAUUGACACUGAGGCACGAAAGCGUGGGGAUCAAACAGGAUUAGAUACCCUGGUAGUCCACGCCCUAAACGAUGGAUACUCGACAUCAGCGAUACACUGUUGGUGUCUGAGCGAAAGCAUUAAGUAUCCCACCUGGGAAGUACGAUCGCAAGAUUGAAACUCAAAGGAAUUGACGG